AGAACGAACGCUGGCGGCAUGCCUAACACAUGCAAGUCGAACGGGACCUUCGGGUCUAGUGGCGCACGGGUGCGUAACGCGUGGGAAUCUGCCCUCAGGUACGGAAUAACUCAGGGAAACUUGAGCUAAUACCGUAUAAUGACUUCGGUCCAAAGAUUUAUCGCCUGAGGAUGAGCCCGCGUAGGAUUAGCUUGUUGGUGAGGUAAAAGCUCACCAAGGCGACGAUCCUUAGCUGGUCUGAGAGGAUGAUCAGCCACACUGGGACUGAGACACGGCCCAGACUCCGUACGGGAGGCAGCAGGUGGGGUAAUAGUUGGACAAGUGGGCGAAAGCCUGAUCCAGCAAUCGACCGCGUGAGUGAUGGAAGGUCCGUUAGGUU
rnacentral:rRNA from 1 species